UGGCUACGAGGACGAACGCUGGCGGCGUGCCUAACACAUGCAAGUCGAGCGGGGACAUACGACGGACAGGAAGUUUUUCGGAUGGAAUGGAAGAUGUAUGUUCUAGCGGCGGACGGGUGAGUAACGCGUGAGCAACCUGUCCCUUACAGGGGGAUAACACAGCGAAAGCUGUACUAAUACCGCAUAAGACCACAGAGAGACAUCUCACAGGGGUCAAAAGGAGCAAUCCGGUAAGGGGUGGGCUCGCGUCCGAUUAGAUAGUUGGUGAGGUAACGGCUCACCAAGGCUGCGAUCAGUAGCCGGACUGAGAGGUUGAACGGCCACAUUGGGACUGAGAUACGGCCCAGACUCCUACGGGAGGCAGCAGUGGGGAAUAUUGGGCAAUGGGCGCAAGCCUGACCCAGCAACGCCGCGUGAAGGAAGAAGGCUUUCGGGUUGUAAACUUCUUUUAUGAGGAACGAAGGACGUGACGGUACCUCAUGAAUAAGCCACGGCUAACUACGUGCC
rnacentral:rRNA from 1 species